CAGCUCUUCCAAAGCAGCAGACAUGGUCCCUGCAGCCAGAGAGAGCCAGCCCCUCGCAGCAGACGCCGGGUCGUCAGGGACCUGCUGCAUUGGUCCCCGGAGCCUUUCCAGAACUCUGCCUGGCAUGGUCCUGGGUCACUUCCAGUCCCCAGCUGGGCAGAGGAGAGGACACCAGUUUUCCUCCAUGCAGUAGUGACAGAGAGCCAUUGAGGAUUCUUGAGGAGGGAGGGGACUGAAGAAAAAUAUGUGGUCAGCGGUUUCGGACAGGGAUUUGCUAACCUUGCAAGUCUCGUCAUUACAACAGAAUGAAAAGGGAUAUUUGACAUAUUUUAUUUCUCAAAUUGCAGCUACAGUUUUGAAUGCCCUGAUUAUGUUGUGUUGAUUAGUGACCUAAUGAUCUCUCUUUUCUUUUACGUCGUUAGAUUUCAGACUGAAGACAGUGCAGUGGGUCUGGAAUAAAUGUUUGCAACACAGGGGACGUGGCUUCCAGUGCUGGAGGCAGCCGUGAUGGCCGCGACGCAGGGGGCGUGGGUUCCAGUGACGGCCGCGACGCAGGGGACGUGGGUUCCAGCAUUGGAGGCAGCCGUGACGGCCGCGAUGCAGGGGGCGUGGGUUCCAGUGACGGCCGCGACGCAGGGGACGUGGGUUCCAGUGACGGCCGCGACGCAGGGGACGUGGGUUCCAGUGACGGCCGCGUCGCAGGGGCGUGGGUUCCAGUGACGGCCGCGACGCAGGGGCGUGGGUUCCAGCGUUGGAGGCAGCCGUGACGGCCGCGAUGCAGGGGGCGUGGGUUCCAGUGACGGCCGCGACGCAGGGGACGUGGGUUCCAGUGACGGCCGCGACGCAGGGGACGUGGGUUCCAGUGACGGCCGCGUCGCAGGGGCGUGGGUUCCAGUGACGGCCGCGACGCAGGGGCGUGGGUUCCAGCGUUGGAGGCAGCCGUGACGGCCGCGAUGCAGGGGGCGUGGGUUCCAGUGACGGCCGCGACGCAGGGGACGUGGGUUCCAGUGACGGCCGCGACGCAGGGGACGUGGGUUCCAGUGACGGCCGCGUCGCAGGGGCGUGGGUUCCAGUGACGGCCGCGACGCAGGGGCGUGGGUUCCAGCGUUGGAGGCAGCCGUGAUGGCCGCGAUGCAGGGGGCGUGGGUUCCAGCGUUGGAGGCAGCCGUGAUGGCCGCGAUGCAGGGGCGUGGGUUCCAGCGUUGGAGGCAGCCGUGAUGGCCGCGAUGCAGGGAGUGAAUAAUCAGCGUGUGCGUCCAGGCAGCAGGUUCCAAGCAGAAGCUUUCCUCCUGUGACUUUGAAAAGUGACCUCCUUGUCAGUUUCUUACUCACUGAACUAUAAACUAGAAUACGAGUAUGGACUCAAUGUAAAUGCAAAUCGAUAGAAAUAAAAUUGUGGCUUUUAAAUGUGACAUUUUCCAUGAGGAGUAAAGAGUUGGAGGCAGCCAGGCACGGUGGCUCACGCCUAUAAUCCUAGCACACUGGGAGGCCAAGAUGGGCGGAUCACUUGAGCUCAGGAGUUCGAGCCCAGCCUGGCCAACACAAUGAAACCUCGUCUCUACUAAAAAUACAAAAAUUAGCUGGGCAUGGUGUGCAUGCCUGUAAUUCCAGCUACUCGGGAGACUGAGGCAGGAGAAUUGCUUGAAACCCAGGAGGUGGAGGUUGCAGUGAGCCGAGAUCGCACCAUUGCACUCCAGCCUGGAAGAUAAGAGUGAGACGCCGUCAAAUAAAAAAAAAAAAAAAAAGAGUUGGAGGAAUCCCGAUAUGCAGGAAAAAGAUGUAUCUGGAAAGCCCUAAUAAAGCCCUAAUAAAGGAGCCGAGGCCACAAACCAACAGGACAUGAAAUGCAGGUGGUGAGAAGACCCAAACCAGAGCUGGCACCAAAGGACAACGGCUUUCCCCUCCUGCAGGCGUGUCCAGGCAGUCAAUGCAGGGCAGGGUGGCCAGCACUGUGACACCCACGGUCAUGACGGGAUCUGUGUGGUGGCCUCGUGGAAGGGGCAAGGCAGAUGCCUAGGAGAGAGCAAGGGGGGAAAUAAGGUCCCAAAGGGAGGGUUGGUCAAAAAGGAAAGGGCUGCAGAGGGUGCUGUCCUAAGGCAAGGGUGACCUGUGUGCAGUUCCAGAAGAGUUUUGCUACCCGGUCUGUGCAACUGCCUGACUCUGGCGUGAGAUGGGGAGAGCACAGGUGGUGGGGCAGCUGCUGGGAGCAGGUCCCAGGCAAGGUGGGGGUUGCUAAGCAGCUGGCCCUGGGGGCAUCGCCUCAACCACACCCAGGACGCUUGACCAAGCAGAGGGACUGGUCUCAGGGACUGUGAUGGCCGGAGGGAUUUUUUUUUUUAAUUGUAUAAUGUCAAUAGCUUUAGGGGUACAAGAGGUUUUUGGUUGCACAGAUGAAGGUACAGUGGUGAAGUCUAAGAUCUUAGUGCACCUGUCACCCAAGUAGUGCACAUCAUACCCAAGGCAUAACUUUCCAUCCCUCAACCCCGUCUCCCUCCCCGCCUCUGAGUCUCCAGUGCCCAUUAUACCACCCUGCAUGCCUUUGCAUGCCCGUAGCCUUGUGUUCCCACUUAUAAGUGAGAACAUAAGGCAUCUGGGUUUUUUAUUCCUGAGUUAUUUCACUUAGAAUAAUGGCCUCCAGCUUCAACCAAGUUGCUGCAGAAGACAUCGUUUCAUUCUUUUUCAUGGCUGAGUAGUAUUCCAUGGUGUACAUGCAGCUCUUUAUCCCCUCAUCAGUUGAUGGGCACUUAGGUAGAUGCCAUAUCUUUGCAAUUGUUAGAAGGAUUUUUUUAAGCUGUAGCCUGAAGUCUCAAGAGUUUCAUGCAUUUACAGUGGUGUCUCCCCACGUUCUCUCUGCAUUUUCUUCUAUGUUAUCUCAGCCAGCUCGAACUGCAAUAACAAAACACCACAGAUGGGCGGCUUAAACAGCAGACAUGCAUUUCUCUGAGUCUGGAGGUUGGAGGUCCAAGAUCCAGGUAUGAGGCAAUUCUAAGUCUGGUGGGGGCUCCAUUCCUGGCUUGACGACAGCGGUGCCUUCUCACUGUGUCCUCACGUGGUGGAGAGAGUGCAGCCCUGCCAUCUCCUCCCCUUCUUCUAAGGACACCAGUCCUAUUGGAUCAAAGCCCCACCCUCAUGGCCCCCUUGGACCUGAUUUACUUCCUUAGAACCCUUUCCCCAAAUGCAGUCAUCCUGGGGUUUGGGAUGUCAAUGUGUGGAUUCUGGGGAGACAGUUCGGUUUAUAGUGGACAGACAUUUUUUCUUAGAAAUCUAAGAAAAGAAAACCCUCCCCUGCCUUCCCACUCCCAGGAGAGGAGCCAGCAGGGGUGAGGCCACCCAGCCCCAGCACACGUCCUGCAGAAGCUGGGGUCCCAUGGGCUCUCCCUGGAGAGACAGAGAGCUGUCCACACUUGGCAGCCCCAGUCCACACCCUAAGGAUGCUGUCUCCACACCUGAGCCGCCCACUGUCCUGCCCCCACCCACCGUGCAAGGUUUCACAUGUCCCGACCUCCCCUUUCUGGCUCUCCUCCCAGCGUCCUCUCUUAAACUUGCAAUCUGCAGGUCGUAGGGGUGACGAGUUAUGAACCAAUCUCAGAAGAGAGACAGGCAGGGUCACACUUGGGUGGCAGCAGACCACCACCUGCAGAGACCAGGUGGCAGGUCCUUCUGGGAGGUGUGGGACGCACCACCAGGGGCUUAGGGCAUUCCACCUACAAGGUUCUUAGACCCUUAUUCAUACAUGGGGGACGGGCACAGUAUUUCUACAGCAAUCCACACUUCUGAAUUGCCACUGAUUUCGCCAAUGAAAAUUAGUUUCAACAUAUAUUAUGUCAAUUAACAAACUCAACUGCAGGCAGACCACGAUGGCAGAGGCUGAUGGGCCUGUGGUGGCCACUGUGGGGUGAGGCUGCCAGGCCUGGGGAAGAGCUCCCUGACAGUACAUUGUGUGUGAGCUGACCUUCCCCCAGGUGUGCUUUACAACCAAAGACGUGUGUUGUAUGUGUCCGUAUGCACACACACGCACACAACAUCACAGGGAUGGACACAAGGUCACAGAUGAUAAAACCUGCUUCAAUGGGGAUGUCAGAGAACAAUUAGAAAACCAAAACCGUCCUGCAGCUAGUCAUCACGCCAAUCUGUAAUAGACAAUACAUGAUCGUUAUGUUAAUUACUUUCAGGGGUUAGUGUCAAUGUCUUUCUAACUUUCGGCCUCAAUGUAGACAUAGCUCAGCUGUGUCUACACAGCUGGGCAAGUCCUCCUAGCACCCUGACUUUGAGCUUUCCCUUAGGGGCUCAGAGCUGUCUUUGCCUCUGAGUCCUUUUUUCUUCUCUCAAUCUCCUGUGUGGACUUGAGUCCUGCAAAUGAUCAAAGCUGGAAGGUCCAGUCUGGAGUCACUGCAGAGUAUGUUGCUCAUGCUUCCCCGAGAAUUAUUUCAUAAUUGCAUUUGCAGUGACCAAGAAGGGGAGGAAACAACAGCUCGGACAAUUCAAGCUUCAAGAAUCUCACCCCUGGGAGAGGAGUCAUUCCUCCACCCACACUGGCCCACGCCCCGCCCCAGUGGAUUUUCCUGCUGGGAAAACAGACCACUUUGCAAGUUGUUCCUUGGAUAUUGGAGGUCGGAGGAGGAUGGCGAAGACUCUGUACGUAACUAGAUGUCCUUAGUUCUUAGACGACCACAGUGACUCAACCGCCCUCUGCCUCCUGAAGGGCAAGGCUAAGAAGUAAAACAAAACAAAGUAAAAAGCAUGCGGGGAGUGCCCUGUCCAGAACCCCCCAUGAAUGUCUACACUAUGAGGUAGAUUCUCUGCCCAGGAAGGGCCCACGACUUGCUGCCCUUCUCCAUGCCAAUCUGCACUUUGAGAUCACCAAGAGAAAUACUGACUAUCCCAAGACAGAUUCAACUGCCAAAGUGAAUGGUGUGGACCGCCAAAUAAGGUUAAAGGAGACCUCCCAGCCCUGUGCCAAGGACGGGGCACUUCCUCAGGAAGCUGGUUCCCCUCAUCCUCUCAACUUCCACUCUUCUCUCCAGAGCCUGGGUACCUUGAAAGGCAUUGAUUAAAAUAGUUACAGCAGUCUUGCAAGAAAGUAUGGUUAAGAAGUGUAGGAUGCCUUAUCAUAUAAG
rnacentral:lncRNA from 1 species